rnacentral:rRNA from 1 species
UACGUAGGGUGCGAGCGUUAUCCGGAAUUACUGGGCGUAAAGAGUUGCGUAGGUGGCAUAGUAAGUAGAUAGUGAAAGCGUGUGGCUCAACCAUACAUCCAUUAUCUAAACUGCUAAGCUAGAGUAUGAGAGAGGUUAUUGGAAUUCCCAGUGUAGGAGUGAAAUCCGUAGAUAUUGGGAGGAACACCGAUGGCGUAGGCAGAUAACUGGCUCAUUACUGACACUAAGGCACGAAAGCGUGGGGAGCAAACGGG